rfam:Asian citrus Psyllid, Diaphorina citri - Florida Strain, whole genome shotgun sequence.
AGCAGCGGCGAUAGCACCACCAGAUCCCAAUGGUUUACUGAAGAUAAGUAAAGUUGCGCGUGGUUAGUAUCGUAAUGGGUGACUAUUUGAGAAAUUGUGUCCUGCUGACU